CGAAUAAAUGGUACUGUGUGAUUUAAGAAUGAUUGUGUGAACAGAAUGUAAUACUAACUAAGUGUCGUUUGUAUUGUAUUCAUUAACCAUUCCUUUUACAUGAUUUAAUUAAUUAGUGUUUUGAUAACAUUUUUAAUUCGAAUUAAUUUAAUUAAAUUUUUUUUUAAAUUUUUCUGUUUAUAUUUUAAUGAUUUUGUGUGAUUUACAAACUAUUUGUAUAUAGUUGUCACUCAGAAAUCGCCUUUUCAUUGGUUAAAUAUUUUUGAAAACAGCUGAAUUUGACAUUAUGGAUCCAAUUACUUUUGACUAAUUGUUGGGCUAUCAACAAUAUAUAAUUAAAUCAUAUCCUUUUGUUUAUUACGGCUGCAAGCAAUAAAUUUUUUGUAAAAUUUACUCCAUAAAAAUAAUAGAACGAAAUUGUCGCAAUUUCUAUUUAUAACAUUAUUCAAUAAGUGGCAGCAUCGAUUUGUUGUCAAAACAUCUUGGUGUUUUUUUUUUUUUGUUAACUGAGUUCAAUUGUCAAUUAUUAGUGGAUGAAAUUACGUUUGUAUUUUAUUUCACUUUCGUCUGUGCUGCUCGCGAUCUUUAUUUUUUCUUUGUGUUGUGAUUUUUUCAGUUAUCGUAUUGUUAUUAUUGGUUAUUGGAAACAAUUUAUUAUGCAUAAAAUUAAAAUUAGCACAAUUUUUGUUGAAGUGAAUAUUUGUCAUAAGUUAGGAGACUGUUGAAUCUGCUUCGGUCACAGCGGAUCUGUAUCUCAAUUCCAACAAGUGCAUCGCCUACGUAACUACUCGUCUGCAAAAUAUACAAUAUUGCUGUUCUGCCUUUGUAAUCUCUACUAGCCACACCUAAACUUUCGAAAAGUAUAACUUUAAAUUGCACAAUAUGGUGGAUCGUCUUGUAAAUUCUGAAGCUAAUUCAAGGCGAAUUGCUAUGGUCGAAAGCUGCUUUGGCAGCUCUGGUGUGCCUUUAGCAAUUCCAGGUCGCGUGCUUGUUGGCGAAGGUGUCUUAACUAAGAUGUGCCGCAAGCGACCAAAGUCUCGACAGUUUUUCCUUUUCAACGAUAUAUUGGUAUAUGGUAAUAUUGUAAUUGGAAAGAAGAAAUAUAACAAACAACACAUUAUGCCAUUAGAAGAGGUAUCAUUGGAAUCUCUCGAGGAUAACGGACAAUAUCGUAAUGGUUGGUUGAUACGUACCACAACAAAAUCGUUUGUUGUUUACGCCGCUACAAGUACGGAAAAACAAGAAUGGAUGGCACAUAUCAACAAGUGUGUGGAAGAUUUACUGCGUAAGAGCGGAAAGAAACCUGUGGAAAAUCACGCUGCUGUUUGGGUACCAGACGCCGAAGCCACCCACUGUAUGAAUUGCAAGAAGACACAAUUUACGAUGAUAGUUCGACGUCAUCAUUGUCGCAACUGCGGAGCAGUUGUAUGCGGACCGUGUUCAUCUAAGAAGUUUUUACUGCCUCAACAAAGCUCCAAACCUGUACGUGUCUGUACCGCUUGUUAUGAACGCCUUUCUAAAGCGGUUAAAGCGGAAUCGUCCAAAACGGCCCUUACAAAUGCUGGUGCAAAUUUAACAACACCAUCUUCAGCGUCUAUUGAUGGUAAUGGUAAUGGCACUGGAAAAAUGGUGGACAGUUCGGGUGAUGAUGAUUCGGAGGAAGAAAGCACUGGUGCAGCCAACGAAAUGCACGAUGAACCACGUUUCUACGGUGAUACAACAUUGUCGGCGGAUGAAUCUACGUCAUCAGCGGCGCUUAAUUCCAGUCACACACCUAGUGUUAAUAACUGAUGUGCGCAGUCUACAUGUUUAGAGGGCGGGUUAAUGGACGCAGGUGGUGACGAAUAUGGGGAUAUAUACAGUCGAAAUGUCACAAGAAGGAAAGGGUGUGACGAUAUGCAGCGAAACAAUAAUAAACAAAAUUAUAAAAUUAAACAACGACAGCAAGAAGAAAAAACUGAAAUAAAGCAACCAGAACAGCAACCAGAUGAACGUAGAAAGAAGGUGUGGCAUUUCGUCUGGAAAAGAAAAGGAUUAACGAAGUUGUUUGAUCUUCAAAAGGGAGGAGGAGGAGCGUAAACGGCGUGAAGAACAACGCAUUAAGGAGUUGCGCAAGCUCACUACGUUUAAAGCACGACCAAAUCCUUUUAAAUAGACUCUUCUAAAACACCAACAAUGCAUAGUAACAAAUAUGAUUUAAACGCCACACAAUAGUACAUACAUACAUACAUAUAUAGCAACAUACAAUCAAUUUAUACAGCAAUAAAAUAAAAACGAUGCAUACUUAAUAACAUUUUCACAUUUUCAAAAAAAAAAUAAUAAUAAUAACAAUUAUAAUAAUAUAAAAUAACGGAGUAUAUGUAUGUAUGUAAUAACAUUUUUAUAUAUGAAAAUGAAAUAACGUAACGUUUUAUUAUCUUUAUUACUACAACUAUUAUAUUAGCCUUUUUUCUUACUUGUAAUAAUUUUCGGGAAUACACAUAUACACAUACAUAUUCAUAUGCAUAUAUAUAGCGAUAUACAAUAAUUAACAAAAUGUUAUAUUAUAUUAUAAAUAAGAAAUAUUUAAAUAAUUAAAACACCUACAUUUUACCACAAUAAAAUAAAGCAAAUGUUAAAAUUAGACACUACACAAUAUUUAUGAAACAUAUGAAUGUACAUACAUACAUAAAAAAGCAUGGAAAUGCUAGAAAGAAAAACAGUUGUCUGUUGUUAAACGUGUAGAAGUGAAGUAGCGAGUACUUUAGCUACAUUUACAACACACACCGCGUACAUAUGUAUGUAUAUUGUGCCUAUGCAGUACUAAAACGCUGACGGUAAAAAAAGUUAAAUUUCAA